AUGAAAGAUACGGUGUUUAUACAUCUCCCUAGGAAGAGCCAUAGGCCUUGGGCCCCACAAAGCCUCAUUUUUCAAAGUAUGAAUGCAUCUCAUCCAUCUGCUGCUUCACUCCCAGACUCCAGCAAUGAGUGCUUUUGGGAACACACAGAAUACCACCAUUUGGAACUUCAUUACCUUGUGCUAGCUACUGCAGGUACACAAAGACAAAUAGAACAUCUGGCAUUUCCCCUGCUGGUACUCACUCCGUCCUGCUGCCCUGUGAAGAAGGUGCCUGCUUCUCCUUUGCCUUCCACUAUGUCCUAA
rnacentral:lncRNA from 1 species